UUGCCCGUAAAACUGUAAACACUGUGUAUAAAUAGAACUGAUUUAUCAAAUUCAUGUGCUGAUACACUGAUACACACACUUGGGAAAAAAAAAUUGGAUAAAGUUAUUGUUUCUCUUGAAUCACAAUUUAAAAUUUUGAUACUUGUGUCAUUGCAGUUUUCAUUAAUUUUGAAAAAAAAAUAACUGUAGCAACGAAGUUACAACACGACACCGGAAAUACUGCGGUUCCUGCAAAGAAAAAAAUCAACAUAAGAAAAG
rnacentral:lncRNA from 1 species